rnacentral:rRNA from 1 species
UACGGGGGGGGCAAGCGUUGUUCGGAAUUACUGGGCGUAAAGGGCGCGUAGGCGGUCGGGUAAGUGAGAUGUGAAAGCUCUGGGCUCAACCCAGGAAUUGCAUUUCAUACUGCUCGACUUGAGUUCGGUAGAGGAGGGCGGAAUUCCAGGUGUAGCGGUGAAAUGCGUAGAUAUCUGGAGGAAUACCGGUGGCGAAGGCGGCGUCCUGGACUGCAACUGACACUGAUGAACGAAAGCCAGGGGAGCAAACGGG